AGUAUGAAUCACAAUCAUGGGGAAGACUGCUGACCUGACAGUUGUGCAGAAAUCCAUCAUUGACACCCUCCAUAAGGAGGGAAAGCCUCAAAAGGUAAUUACGAAGGAUGUUGGCUGUUCCCAAAGUGCUGCAUCAACGCACAUUAAUAGAAAGUUAUGUGGAAGGGAAAAGUGUGGAAGAAAAAGGUGCACAAGCAGCAGGAUGAUGAGGAGAGGAUUGUCAGGAAUAGGUAAUUCAAAUGUGUUGGGAACUUUCACAAGGAGUGGACUGAGGCUGGAGUCAGUGCAUCAAGAGCCACCACACACAGACAGAUCCUGGACAUGGGCUUCAGAUGUCGUAUUCCUCUUGUCAAGCCGCUCCUGAACAACAAAC